rnacentral:rRNA from 1 species
GAUGAACGCUAGCGGCAGGCUUAAUACAUGCAAGUCGAGGGACAGCACAGGUAGCAAUACUGGGUGGUAACCGGCAAACGGGUGCGGAACACGUACACAACCUUCCUUCAAGUGGGGGAUAGCCCAGAGAAAUUUGGAUUAAUACCCCGUAAUAUAGUUGAAUGGCAUCAUUUGAUAAUUAUAGCUACGGCGCUUAAUGAUGGGUGUGCGGCUGAUUAGAUAGUUGGCGGGGUAACGGCCCACCAAGUCUACGAUCAGUAGCUGAUGUGAGAGCAUGAUCAGCCACACGGGCACUGAGACACGGCCCGACUCCUACGGGAGGCAGCAGUAAGGAAUAUUGGUCAAUGGACGCAAGUCUGAACCAGCCAUGCCGCGUGAAGGAUUAAGGUCCUCUGGAUUGUAAACUUCUUUUAUUUGGGACGAAAAAGGGCCUUUCUAGGUCAACUGACGGUACCAGACGAAUAAGCACCGGCUAACUCCGUGCCAGCCGCCGCGGUAAGAC